CCUGCCCCUAGAAGCAUUGCAGGUGUGGCUGCUGUGUCACAUGUGUAGGUGGCAGAGAAGAGACUGGCUAUGUCUAUGAUCAGUGUUCUGACCUGUGAACAGCUGAAUGAUUAGUAGACUAGAAUU